rnacentral:rRNA from 1 species
AACGAACGCUGGCGGCGCGCCUAACACAUGCAAGUCGAACGAGAAUCCGGGGCAACCCGGUAGUAAAGUGGCAAACGGGUGAGGAAUACAUGGGUAACCUACCCUUGAGAAGGGAAUAACCCGCCGAAAGGUGAGCUAAUACCCUAUACGCUAUCUUUUUUUCGAAAGGAUAGGAAAGCCGGGUCGAGGACCUGGUACUCAAGGAGGGGCUCAUGUCCUAUCAGCUUGUUGGUGGGGUAACGGCCUACCAAGGCUACGACGGGUAGCUGGUCUGAGAGGAUAGAUCAGCCACACGUGGCACUGAGAUACGGGCCAGACUCCGUACGGGAGGCAGCAGUGGAGGAAUAUUGCGACAAGUGGGACGAAAGCCUGACGCAGCGACGCCGCGGUGGGGAUGUAAGGUUUUCGGAUUACGUUAAACCCCCUUUCAUGGAGGAAAGAUAAAGGUGGGUAACCACUUA